rnacentral:lncRNA from 1 species
GUCAGAAGAUUCCAGAUGCACUCGGGUUCUUAACUGAAGACUUUCUCCAGUUAUCUGAAGCCUCAUGUCUUCCAUAGGAAAAAAUGCUUCUGUGUCUCUUCAGUGAGAAAGAAUUAUAAAGAUUGUCCCCGUUUUCUCAAAGGAAUCUUCCCUUCCCCAAAACAAAUUAACAGAGCUUAAAACCCACUUGCUCCUAUGACAUAAAAAUGAUGACAUGGUUAAUUUACUACUUUCAAUCUUAUGAGGUCUAGCUUUGCAAGAAUGUAAGCAAUCUAUCAGUAAAGUGAAUUGAAUGAUGAAAUCGCAUACAGCCGAGUUCCAUCGGGCCCCUCAUGAAAAAUACAUACAAGCAGGGAUUACCAGUGAUUUCUACUAAUAU